CACGUAGGGCGCAAGCGUUGUCCGGAAUUAUUGGGCGUAAAGAGCUCGUAGGCGGUCUGUUGCGUCCGCUGUGAAAACUCGGGCUUAACCCCGAGCCUGCAGUGGAUACGGGCAGACUAGAGGUAGGUAGGGGAGAAUGAAUUCCCGGUGUAGCGGUGAAAUGCGCAGAUAUCAGGAGGAACACCGGUGGCGAAGGCGGGUCUCUGGGCGAAAUUGACGCUGAGGAGCGAAAGCGUGGGGAGCAAACAGG
rnacentral:rRNA from 1 species